rnacentral:rRNA from 1 species
GAUGAACGCUGGCGGCGUGCCUAAUACAUGCAAGUCGAGCGAAUGGAUUAAGAGCUUGCUCUUAUGAAGUUAGCGGCGGACGGGUGAGUAACACGUGGGUAACCUGCCCAUAAGACUGGGAUAACUCCGGGAAACCGGGGCUAAUACCGGAUAACAUUUUGAACCGCAUGGUUCGAAAUUGAAAGGCUGCUUCGGCUGUCACUUAUGGAUGGACACGCGUCGCAUUAGCGAGUUGGUGAGGUAACGGCUCACCAAGGCAACGAUGCGUAGCCGACCUGAGAGGGUGAUCGGCCACACUGGGACUGAGACACGGCCCAGACUCCUACGGGAGGCAGCAGUAGGGAAUCUUCCGCAAUGGACGAAAGUCUGACGGAGCAACGCCGCGUGAGUGAUGAAGGCUUUCGGGUCGUAAAACUCUGUUGUUAGGGAAGAACAAGUGCUAGUUGAAUAAGCUGGCACCUUGACGGUACCUAACCAGAAAGCCACGGCUAACUACGUGCCAGCCGCCGCCGUAA